GACCUAACCUGGCAGGGGAGAUACCAUGAUCACCAAGGUGGUUUUCCCAAGGCGAGGCUUACCCAUUGCACUCCGGAUGUGCUGACCCCUGUGAUUUCCCCAAAUGCGGGGAAACUUAGCUGGCAAAUUGAAUAAAGAGUUCUCACUUGU
rnacentral:snRNA from 1 species